rnacentral:rRNA from 1 species
GAUGAACGCUGGCGGCGUGCCUAAUACAUGCAAGUCGAGCGAACGGACGAGAAGCUUGCUUCUCUGAUGUUAGCGGCGGACGGGUGAGUAACACGUGGAUAACCUACCUAUAAGACUGGGAUAACUUCGGGAAACCGUAGCUAAUACCGGAUAAUAUUUUGAACCGCAUGGUUCAAAAGUUAAAGACGGUCUUGCUGUCACUUAUAGAUGGAUCCGCGCUGCAUUAGCUAGUUGGUAAGGUAACGGCUUACCAAGGCAACGAUGCAUAGCCGACCUGAGGGGGUGAUCGGCCACACUGGAACUGAGACACGGUCCAGACUCCUACGGGAGGCAGCAGUAGGGAAUCUUCCGCAAUGGGCGAAAGCCUGACGGAGCAACGCCGCGUGAGUGAUGAAGGUCUUCGGAUCGUAAAACUCUGUUAUUAGGGAAGAACAUAUGUGUAAGUAACUGUGCACAUCUUGACGGUACCUAAUCAGAAAGCCACGGCUAACUACGUG